rnacentral:rRNA from 1 species
GGUAUUGCCCUAGUAACGGCGAGUGAAGCGGCAACAGCUCAAAUUUGAAAUCUGGCUCUUUUAGAGUCCGAGUUGUAAUUUGCAGAGGGCGCUUUGGCUUUGGCACGGUCCAAGUUCCUUGGAACAGGACGUCACAGAGGGUGAGAAUCCCGUACGUGGUCGCUGGCUAUUGCCGUGUAAAGCCCCUUCGACGAGUCGAGUUGUUUGGGAAUGCAGCUCUAAAUGGGAGGUACAUUUCUUCUAAAGCUAAAUAUUGGCCAGAGACCGAUAGCGCACAAGUAGAGUGAUCGAAAGAUGAAAAGCACUUUGGAAAGAGAGUCAAACAGCACGUGAAAUUGUUGAAAGGGAAGCGCUUGCAGCCAGACUUGCUUACAGUUGCUCAUCCGGGUUUCUACCCGGUGCACUCUUCUGUAGGCAGGCCAGCAUCAGUUUGGGCGGUAGGAUAAAGGUCUCUGUCACGUACCUCCUUUCGGGGAGGCUUAUAGGGGAGACGACAUACUACCAGCCUGGACUGAGGUCCGCGCAUCUGCUAGGAUGCUGGCGUAAUGGCUGUAAGCGGCCCGUCUUGAAACACGGACCAAGGAGUCUAACAUCUAUGCGAGUGUUUGGGUGUCAAGCCCGAGCGCGUAAUGAAAGUGAACGGAGGUGGGAACCCGCAAGGGUGCACCAUCGACCGAUCUGAUGUCUUCGAAGGAUUUGAGUAAGAGCAUGGCUGUUGGGACCGAAAGAUGGUGAACUAUGCUUGAAUAAGGUGAACCAGAGGAAACUCUGGUGGAGCUCGCACGUCUGACUGCAAUCGAUCUCAAAUUUGGCAUAGGGCGAAAGACUAAUCGACUAUCUA